UACGUAGGUGGCAAGCGUUGUCCGGAAUUAUUGGGCGUAAAGCGCGCGCAGGCGGUCCCUUAAGUCUGAUGUGAAAGCCCACGGCUCAACCGUGGAGGGUCAUUGGAAACUGGGGGGACUUGAGUACAGAAGAGGAAAGCGGAAUUCCACGUGUAGCGGUGAAAUGCGUAGAGAUGUGGAGGAACACCAGUGGCGAAGGCGGCUUUCUGGUCUGUAACUGACGUGAGGCGCGAAAAGCGUGGGGGAGCAAAACAGG
rnacentral:rRNA from 1 species